UACAGAGGGUGCGAGCGUUGUCCGGAAUCACUGGGCGUAAAGGGCGCGUAGGUGGCUGGGUAAGCGUGUGGUGAAAGUCCGGGGCUCAACCCCGGAUCUGCCGUGCGAACUGCCGAGCUCGAGCAAUGUAGAGGCGGGUGGAAUUUCGGGUGUAGCGGUGGAAUGCGUAGAUAUCCGAAAGAACACCGGUGGCGAAGGCGGCCCGCUGGGCAUUUGCUGACACUGAGGCGCGACAGCGUGGGGAGCAAACAGG
rnacentral:rRNA from 1 species